UAAUUGAAGAGUUUGAUCAUGGCUCAGAUUGAACGCUGGCGGCAGGCCUAACACAUGCAAGUCGAGCGGUAACAGGGGAAGCUUGCUUCUCGCUGACGAGCGGCGGACGGGUGAGUAAUGUAUGGGGAUCUGCCCG
rnacentral:rRNA from 1 species